GCCAAAACGCGGAAGCAACGUGGAUUUUACGUGCCUACGUUUAUGUCAAACACAUCGUGAUUGGCUCAUGAAGGAGCAGAUACGUGAAACACGCUGCACAUAGCCAUAUGGAGAAAGUAGGUGAGUGUUGAUCAUUUGUUUGGUACCUAUUCCCCCAAGAGGGGUGCCAGUGUCCUGAUGCUGACCAGUGCCACCGGUUCCGCCACUUGGUUCCUGCUGGAGCCUUAGCACCAACUGGAUGAGGGGACUCCUCUCUGUGUUGAAUUCCCGGCUGUCUAAGGCUUUGAAGUGGAGAGUGGUGUCAAACUACAAGACCGCCAGCAUGUAAACAAGGCCUUGUUUGUCCUUGUUUGGCUACUCACCACUCUUCUAAUUCCUGAAGAGGCUGAAGCAUGCUGGCCUUGACACCUCAGUCCUUGCUUCCAUUAACAGCUGUGUUAUGGUCUACUGCAACGGGUGGAUAAGGAGGGCAAAUGACAGGCAGUGUGCUGUGAGGACUGCUGCCCUGAUUCAUACGGAAGAACCAAGCCCGCAAGAUGGUGUUAUCAAGCACACAGAAGGGGGGAAUAUAGCUUAUUGUACCUUAAAUGACAAGUGCUCAUCACAAGCAUUCCAAAAGUAUAUGAUUUAGGCUACUUAAUGUGAUCUGUCUUCGAGUUACACCCUAAAAACUACCAACACUGUCAAAAGAGUCCGUCAAUGCAAACGGUCGUGUCCUCCUGGCAGAUGGUGUUAUCAAGCACACAGAAGGGUGGAAUAUAGUUUAUUGUACCUUAAAUGACAAGUACUCAUCACAAGCAUUCCAAAAAUAUAUGAUAUAGGCUACUUAAUGUGAUCUGUCUUCGAGUUACACCCUAUAAACUACCAACACUGUCAAAAGUGUCCGUCAAUGCAAACGGUGGCAUCCUCCUGGCAGAUGGUGUUAUCAAGCACACAGAAGGGUGGAAUAUAGUUUAUUGUACCUUAAAUGACAAGUACUCAUCACAAGCAUUCCAAAAAUGUAUGAUUUAGGCUACUUAAUGUGAUCUGUCUUCGAGUUACACCCUACAAACUACCAACACUGUCAAAAGUGUCAGUCAAUGCAAACGGUCGCGUCCUCCUGGCAGAUGGUGUUAUGAAGCACACAGAAGGGUGGAAUAUAGCUUAUUGUACCUUAAAUGACAAGCACUCAUCACAAGCAUUCCAAAAAUAUAUGAUUUAAAUUACUUAAUGUGAUCUGUCUUCGAGUUACACCCUAAAAACUACCAACACUGUCAAAAGUGUCCGUCAAUGCAAACGGUGGCAUCCUCCUGGCAGAUGGUGUUAUCAAGCACACAGAAGGGUGGAAUAUAGCUUAUUGUACUUUAAAUGACAAGUACUCAUCACAAGCAUUCCAAAAAUGUAUGAUUUAGGCUACUUAAUGUGAUCUGUCUUCGAGUUACACCCUACAAACUACCAACACUGUCAAAAGUGUCAGUCAAUGCAAACGGUCGCGUCCUCCUGGCAGAUGGUGUUAUGAAGCACACAGAAGGGUGGAAUAUAGCUUAUUGUACCUUAAAUGACAAGCACUCAUCACAAGCAUUCCAAAAAUAUAUGAUUUAAAUUACUUAAUGUGAUCUGUCUUCGAGUUACACCCUAAAAACUACCAACACUGUCAAAAGUGUCCGUCAAUGCAAACGGUGGCAUCCUCCUGGCAGAUGGUGUUAUCAAGCACACAGAAGGGUGGAAUAUAGCUUAUUGUACUUUAAAUGACAAGUACUCAUCACAAGCAUUCCAAAAAUAUAUGAUUUAAAUUACUUAAUGUGAUCUGUCUUCGAGUUACACCCUAAAAACUACCCGUGUUCAAAAGUGUCCGUCAAUUCAAACGGUCGUGUCCUCUUGGCAGAUGGUGUUAUCAAGCACACAGAAGGGUGGAAUAUAUCUUAUUGUACCUUAAAUGACAAGUACUCAUCACAAGCAUUCCAAAAAUAUAUGAUUUAAAUUACUUAAUGUGAUCUGUCUUCGAGUUACACCCUAAAAACUACCAACACUGUCAAAAGUGUCCGUCAAUGCAAACGUUCGCGUCCUCCUGGCAGAUGGUGUUAUCAAGCACACAGAAGGGUGGAAUAUAGCUUAUUGUACUUUAAAUGACAAGUACUCAUCACAAGCAUUCCAAAAAUAUAUGAUUUAAAUUACUUAAUGUGAUCUGUCUUCGAGUUACACCCUAAAAACUACCCGUGUUCAAAAGUGUCCGUCAAUUCAAACGGUCGUGUCCUCUUGGCAGAUGGUGUUAUCAAGCACACAGAAGGGUGGAAUAUAUCUUAUUGUACCUUAAAUGACAAGUACUCAUCACAAGCAUUCCAAAAAUAUAUGAUUUAAAUUACUUAAUGUGAUCUGUCUUCGAGUUACACCCUAAAAACUACCAACACUGUCAAAAGUGUCCGUCAAUGCAAACGGUCGUGUCCUCCUGGCAGAUGGUGUUAUCAAGCACACAGAAGGGUGGAAUAUAGCUUAUUGUACCUUAAAUGACAAGUACUCAUCACAAGCAUUCCAAAAAUAUAUGAUUUAGGCUACUUAAUGUGAUCUGUCUUCGAGUUACACCCUAAAAACUACCCGUGUUCAAAAGUAUCCAUCAAUGCAAACGGUCAAGGCCCACUGGCAGAUGGUGCUAACAAGCACACAGAAGGGUGGAAUAUAGCUUAUUAUAGCUUAAAUCACAUCUACAUUCUACAGGCAUUCCAAAAAUAUAUAAUUUAGGCUACUUAAAUUGAUCUGUCCCCAUGUUACACCCUUAAAACUACCCUUGUUCAAAAGCAUCCGUCGAUGCAAACGGUCACGGCCCACUGGCAGAUGGUGUUAACAAGCACACAGAAGGGUGGAAUAUAACUUAUUAUAGCUUAAAUCACAUCUACACUCUACAGGCAUUCCAAAAACAUAUGAGUUAGGCUACUUAAAAUGUGUUCUUUUUUUAUUUUUUACUUUGAAUGUGUCACAUAGCCUAUGCCGGCGAAUUAGGCACUACUUGAUGAUGUCUGGUAGCCAUAGCUGCUGCCCUCAACAUGGUGUAAGUGUUUUUGUAUUUUGAAUGUUUUUUUUUUUUGUUCCAUGGUGAGGGCUAUGGGGUAUGUUAUUGAGCAUGCUCUAAUUUGUUUGUCAUAUGUACGAGCGGAGUAGUUUGCAUUAAUUAUAUUCAUGGACCGGGUAAAUUGUAAUAUAUGCUUUCUUUCUCUUUUACAGACACUUGACAUUUACUGUCAAAGCUACCAUCAGAGCACCUCUCCCUACCCUGCAGGACAUCUAUACCCGAAGAGUGCAACAAGGGCCCAGAAUAUUUCAUGACACAUUUCACACCCUGACCAUGGACUGUUUAAACCACUGAGGCCAAGCGUACAUCUCUGUUUCCACAUGGCUAAAACAGACUGAGGAGAAGUUUCUUUCCUCAAGCCAUCCGCAUCCCGGACACACAUAACUCUUUAAACUACAUUACAUAGACUUGCCAUACUGCACUUACAGUACACACACUGCACUUUGUACCCCCUGGAUUAUUCUGUGUCAAAUCAGUAUCUCAGGUUUUGCUAAAAUAAUGUCUAUAUAUACAGUAGAAUGGUUCCCAAAACCAAGGCCCGUGAAAUAUUUCUGUUCAAAUCCUAUAUCUUCAUAUUAUUACGGCAGGCUCGUUUUCGGCAAGGUCCUAUAUUUGGGGAAAAGUGCAUAAAUCAGUAACAUUAAGGGUAUGAAUGUCAGUUUGUACAUAUUUACAUAUUAUGUGUUAUUAAUGCCAAUGUUUUCAAUAUGUAAUGGGCUUGAAGAUUUUAAAGGUUAAGCAAGGGAAGGGUGUGUUUUUUGGUAAUUUUCAUAGGAUUAAAAUGGUAUGUAGAAUAGCUAGUAGGCACUUAUUUGAACAGGUAUGUGAGCACAGCUCAGUGUAUGGGCAUUUAGUGUACAAGGUGCCAAUGUUGUACCGUAGAUACAGUCAAAAUCAUUGUUUUACCACAGGGUCAAGAAUGAAAAGACAUGGAUAUACAAUGGAACCAAGUAAGUGUAUUUAUCAACGAAUGAAACAUGGUACAUCAUUGGCACUUUAUACAUGAAAUUAUCAUGCCCAAAGAUGGCCUCCACAAUAAGGAAUGUCUGAGAGUAAAACGGAUACAAAAUCAAUUGUGAAAAAAAUGUAGGCCUACUGUAUGAAAUUAUAAAAUUUAGUACAAAUAUUUGAUUUAAAGGUAGACAAACCUUGAGUUAAAAAAUCUGAAGCACAGCAACUAUUUUCCUGGAUUUUGUCUGAUUUGACACAGAAUGACCCCCCUUCCUUAUUGUUUAAUUAUUUCUAAAUACUUUCUUUAUCCUAUACACCUCUGCACAGGAAAGUUGUGCCGCUAUAAUGCCAGUUCUCUGUAUGUGACAAUUUCUUGAAUCCUUCACAGAAGGCUCAAUUUUGUAUUGUGAUAUUUUGUGAUUGUCUACAAAAAUAAAAAUACUUGU